rnacentral:lncRNA from 1 species
CACUAUUUCUCAGAGCAUGUCAACACCAUUAAGGGACUCAUUGUGGCAGCUGUUUUGGACAUUCCUCCCAUGACAGGGGCUUGCUAUGGUGGGUCCUGGGCUGGAAACCAUAUGAAGCUAUCUAGAGACUCAGAAGGUGGAAGCGGGAAGGUCAGGAGUUAAAGGCCGUCCUCAGCUACGUGGUGAGUUUAACUGCCUGGGCUGCACGAAACCCUGUCUCCGAGAAGCAAAACAAAAAUGCACUUGAAGGCGAUCUUUGUAUGAUGGGAGUCCACAACCUGAUGGGGUCAUCAGAAGAGUUCAAUGAGUCAGGACAUGUCCAGUGCCAGUACCUGACACAUGUUACACCCAUCCCUUCUUGCUAUCUGUGGAGGCUAAUUCCACUUGCCCCAUCCCCAAAUCUACAGAUGCUUAAGUCCUCUAUGAAAUACAGCAGUAUUUGUAUACUGCGGGCCUGGGAGUAGGGGAAGAGGAAGGAGAGAGAGAGAGCACACGUCCAGCCAGAGUUCCUGUGCUCUAGGCGAGCAGACUCAGGAGGACUGCCGGAUGCUUUCCACUCAGCCCCAGGUGGGCAUCUGGCUGUGUGAAGCCACUGACCCCACUUGGUGGGAGGUGUACAAGGGGUAACCCCCGUACCAGGUUCUCAGUCUCCUGCAUCCCACGCUGGAUAUGGCAGAGGAGCUGAGAACAGAAUAGGGGAAGAGAGGGCAGGGGGAAAAGGUUCCCACACAGGCGAGAGUCCUAAGUCUGGUCCAUGGCUGGAGCACAGGAAGGCCUUCCAUCGGAGAUUAGAAAUGGCUCGUUAGGAGAAAGCCUAUCCCAUCAUCCAAAAACAGUGGACCUUGAUGAACAGAGACAAUCUAAGGUUUUAGAGCUUUAUUGUGGAAAGGCAGGGGGAAAGAGAGAAGGUAAAAGAGAGAGACCUGCCAUGGCCAAGAGGAGAGAAAGGGGAAAAGGAGAGAAGAAAGGCUGGAGAGUAAGAGGGAGAGAGCAAGGAAAGCUUAAGAGAGUGAGGAGAGAGAGAGGGAGGUGGGGUCAAGCAGCCCCUCUUAUAGUGGGCUUGUUAUCUUGUUGUUGCUAGGUAACUGGGAGGAGUCUAGCCUGAAGGUCAGAAGCUUGGGACAUUGUAUGAUUCUCUUGUGGGAGCUGUGGAAACAGUAACUUCGACAGGAGCCAGGGUUCCAGGAGACAUGAGGGGACGCCUUCUGUCCCACGUAAAUGAAAAUUAUCACCACUGGGUUUCACUGAGUUUCACUGGGGUUCACAACCUCAGCUCAACUGGAGACCAGGCCGUCUGUACAUAGCCCACUGCCCCACAGUAUACGACUCAUGACCACCCUUUAAACCAUCCCUAUUAUUUUUUACUGCAGUACAUGAUAAAUACAAAUAAAUAGUUGUAAUACUGGAUGGUUUAGAGAAUGGUUUAGACAAGAGAAAAGGUUAUGAAUGUUCAGUAGAGAUGUAAAGUCUUUCUGAACAUUUUCAACCUGCAGGCUGAAUCCAGGGUCAUAGAACUUCGGCCACAAAGGGCAAGCAAUACUCCAAAAAGCCUGUCUUCACUGUAAUCUCCCCAGGUACUCCUGUCUCUCAUGUCUUAGCUCUUCAGCAUCAGCUAGCGCAUCCGUCCAAGCCCCACCUCUUCUACACAACCUGCAGGUCACUGUCCUGGAGUGUCUCCAGCCCUGCCAGACAGACAGACAGACAGACAGGCAGGCAGACAGACAUCCAGAGAGUCUGCUGUGCAGCUUGACCCAGCACCCUUGUUAGCAAAGUUUUUUUAAUGCUACACUUACUAAGUAGUCAGUUAUACACACA